ACAAGAUGGGGUGGGGGGAAGGGAUUUUUUCUUAUAAAACCACCAGCAAAAUGGAAGCUCUAACCUCUUCCCCCUGCACUGGCUUCAGCUAAUAGAAAGGCAGCAGUCUGAGUUUCUCCAGCUCCUCUGUAGUUUAGGAGCAACCCAAACUGUUACAAGUGGGGGCACAGCUGUGUCUAAAUAGAGUCCCAGUUACUUCUAAUUGGGAUAACUCUGCCUGUGGGAGGUGCCUUCUCUGUAAAAGCUUGGUCCUCCAUGUUGAUUUUUUUUUAACUCAACCCCAGCUUGUGGCGGAGAAGCAGCUAAAUGGAGUGAGAAGAAAAAGGGCUAUAUGCCCACAAAGAUGAACAAUUUCUGGCUGCCACCUGAUGGACAUGGCAGCAAAGCAUAAGAAAGGAUGUCACAUCUCACUGCUGCACAGCACUGGAGACUAAAGACAGCUGAAUGACAAAUACAGUGAAGGAGACACACAGGGUAAUGACUGCUCCAGGAUCUUCAGCCGUUCAUUUCUUUAUCAUAGUGGAGUAACUAGGGCUGCUGUUGCAGAACAUGUCACCACACCAUCACCAUCAACCGAUGAAACUCGUGUAAUGGAUGAGAAUGGAUAUAAGUGUUUAGCUCCUGUCAACAAAUGCGGACCAAAGACAAGAGAAGCUACUGAAACUGUAAAGAGAUUCUAGUUUUAAAAGCUCUGACAACUGUUCACUCAGCUGCAUAGGGAUAGCAUGCUUCGAGGAUGACACAGUUAGAUGUUGCAAAUACACCUCUACCCUGAUAUAACGCUGUCCUUGGGAGCCAGAAAAUCUCUCUGCAUUAUAGGUGAAACCGUGUUAUAUCAAACUUGCUUUUGAUCCACUGGAGCGCACAGCGCCCCCCCCCCCCCCCCGAGUGCUGCUUUCCCAUGUUUAUAUCCAAAUUCGUGUUAUAUCGGGUUGCGUUCUAUUGGGGUAGAGGUGUACCACCAUUCUAUUGUUGUUUACUAUAGUCUCUUAGGGUAUGUCUCCACUGCAGUGUAAACCCAGGGUUAGUGCGACUCAAGUAAGCUGUGACCUAUACUAGGGAACCUUAGGUUUGACCAUCUACGUUGUAUUUUAAGCCUAUGUUAAGACUUUUCUAACCCAUGCUCAAACCUAGGGCUCUGGCGUCCACACUGCAGUGUGAAGACCCAAGUCAAAGUAACCAUAUUCCAGAGUCCGUAGCACCGCCCCUGCCAUCCCCACUGAAAUGUGGCCACUCUAGCCCUAGGACUGUGGUGCAAUGUAACAUAACUUUACCUCCCACCCUGCACGUUACAGGAAGUUUGAACAACCGAUCAGUGCAGCCUUCCGAGCAGUCAUUUUGGUCUGUGCACGCCCACCGAUCAGAGCCAGCAACAAGGAGGAGGUGCCUUUUGACUAACUUCUCUUGCUUGCACUUUCACUCCUAUGGGAAGAAACUAGCAGAGCGUCCGCGAGGUACCUGUGGACAUUGUGGUAGCACUUUCUGACCCACCAAAGGCACCUGAUGGAUUUCCCGAUGGCGCUCCAGAAGGAGGAAGAGGAGGCAGGAGUACCCUGGCAUCGCAGACUCUCACUGGUUGAUGCUGCUGAGCAGAAUUGGCAUAGUCACUGGUGCUCCCUACGUAGAUUGCUUGGGGUCCUGCGCCAGAAGAGACACAGACUGGUGGGACCACGCCCUCAUGCAGACCUGGGAUGACCAGCAGUGGAUCCAGAAUUUUCUCAUGAAGAAGGCCACAUUUCUGGAGCUUUGUGAGCAGCUUGCCCCCACCCUCCAGUGUAAAGAGACAAAUCUGAGGUCACUCUUCCCAGUCCAGAAGCAGGUUGCUAAAAGCUGGCUACCCCAGAUGGCUACAGGUCUGUUGCCAAACAGUUUGGUGUAGGAAAGUUGACUGUAGGUAAAGUGGGGGAUGGUUUAGCUCGAGGUGGUGGGCAUUAAAAAUAUUCUAGAGGUAAUCGCUGGCUUUGAGAGAAUGGGGUUUCCUAAUUGUGGCAGGUAUAUUGAUGGGACUCAUGUAUGCAGUUUGCCCUCCUCAUGGAGCACAUGAGUACAUAAACCACAAAGGGUACCACUCUAUUGAUAUGCAGGCACUAGUGGACCACAGGGUCAGAUUUAUGAAUGUCAAGUGGGCUCUGCAGGAAGAAUUCAUGGUGCCUGAGUUUUUUGCUGCUCAGGAUUCUACAUUCAUGGACAGCCUGGGACACUAUUCCCACCAAAUGACAUGGACAUAAAUAGUGUUACUGUCCCCAUUGUUCUGGGGGACACCAUAUACCCCUGUUUGCCUUGGCUUAUGUUACUGUACCCUGAUUUGAGGCCCUGCAAAAGAAAGUUUUAAUUACACUCUCAGCAGGUGUAGAAUGGCUGUUGCAUGUGCUUUUGGCAGAUUGAAAUCACAUUGGAGGUGUUUACAAACCCAUUUGGAUGCCAGUGUCCUCUGUACUGUCCGCAUUACUGUGGCUUGCUGUGCUCUUCACAACCUCUGUGAAGCCAGAGGUGAGCCAUUUCCCCCUGAAAGACCUAUGACAGCAAGGGGUCACUGGGUCGGUACCUCAGCCAGAAAGCGCAACUACCACUGCAGGAGCUGGUUGCACUGGGCAGAAGAAAUCAGGGGUGCCUUGUGUUCUCACAUUGUGGUCUUGCAUGGCCCAAUGGCAGAGCGGGAAUAGAACCUGUAUGAAUGUGCUUGUGGGGGGAAAACUGGCUCAUUUAUUUUUGUGGGGGGCUGAGCCUGGAGGGCAGGGUGGGCUUGAUUGCCAUGCAAUACAAGUCUGAAUGACAUAAUGAAUUUGUUGGAGGGAGGCCACAAUGGCUGCACAAAUGGAAUUUGCUGAAUUGUGAAUUGCCGAACCUAGCUAAAUAGAGGAAUAGCUUUUUGCUUACUGAUGUGUAAUUGCUCUUGAACAUGUUUUUAGCUGUAUUAUCUCAAAUCAUGAGAGUAUGAGGUGAUAAAGUGAUAGCAAUAAACUUUC